rnacentral:snRNA from 1 species
GGCUGUGAGGGAGAGCUGGCUGUGACAUGUCACCCCAUGGUUUGCCAAGGUGUAUUUGGCUGAUCUGGCUGGUUAGGCAGGCAUUCCCUUCCUUCCUCACUGCUUCAUGUUCUUCCCUCCUGAAGCCACAUGCUUGGUCGAACAGGAUGACCAUCCCUGACAGAGGAGGGCUGGUAUACAAGUCAAGGGUAUACAAGUAGCUACACUCCCCUGCUAGAACCUUCAAACAAGCUCUCAUAAUUGGAAUCUUAAGAGUGAUGCUGAUGUCACCAGGUUAUCAGGUGAAGCUUCCAGGAAUGGGGCAUCAAAGUAAGCCAAUUUGUCCUAUGGAAUAUUAAUAAACUUU